rnacentral:rRNA from 1 species
GACGAACGCUGGCGGCGUGCCUAAUACAUGCAAGUAGAACGCUGAAGAGAGGAGCUUGCUCUUCUUGGAUGAGUUGCGAACGGGUGAGUAACGCGUAGGUAACCUGCCUGGUAGCGGGGGAUAACUAUUGGAAACGAUAGCUAAUACCGCAUAAAAUUGAUUAUUGCAUGAUAAUUAAUUGAAAGAUGCAAUUGCAUCACUACCAGAUGGACCUGCGUUGUAUUAGCUAGUUGGUGAGGUAACGGCUCACCAAGGCGACGAUACAUAGCCGACCUGAGAGGGUGAUCGGCCACACUGGGACUGAGACACGGCCCAGACUCCUACGGGAGGCAGCAGUAGGGAAUCUUCGGCAAUGGGGGGAACCCUGACCGAGCAACGCCGCGUGAGUGAAGAAGGUUUUCGGAUCGUAAAGCUCUGUUGUAAGAGAAGAACGGGUGUGAGAGUGGAAAGUUCACACUGUGACGGUAUCUUACCAGAAAGGGACGGCUAACUACGUGCCAGCAGCCGCGGUAAUACGUAGGUCCCGAGCGUUGUCCGGAUUUAUUGGGCGUAAAGCGAGCGCAGGCGGUUAGAUAAGUCUGAAGUUAAAGGCUGUGGCUUAACCAUAGUAUGCUUUGGAAACUGUUUAACUUGAGUGCAGAAGGGGAGAGUGGAAUUCCAUGUGUAGCGGUGAAAUGCGUAGAUAUAUGGAGGAACACCGGUGGCGAAAGCGGCUCUCUGGUCUGUAACUGACGCUGAGGCUCGAAAGCGUGGGGAGCGAACAGGAUUAGAUACCCUGGUAGUCCACGCCGUAAACGAUGAGUGCUAGGUGUUAGGCCCUUUCCGGGGCUUAGUGCCGCAGCUAACGCAUUAAGCACUCCGCCUGGGGAGUACGACCGCAAGGUUGAAACUCAAAGGAAUUGACGGGGGCCCGCACAAGCGGUGGAGCAUGUGGUUUAAUUCGAAGCAACGCGAAGAACCUUACCAGGUCUUGACAUCCCUCUGAUCGCUCUAGAGAUAGAGUUUUCCUUCGGGACAGAGGUGACAGGUGGUGCAUGGUUGUCGUCAGCUCGUGUCGUGAGAUGUUGGGUUAAGUCCCGCAACGAGCGCAACCCCUAUUGUUAGUUGCCAUCAUUCAGUUGGGCACUCUAGCGAGACUGCCGGUAAUAAACCGGAGGAAGGUGGGGAUGACGUCAAAUCAUCAUGCCCCUUAUGACCUGGGCUACACACGUGCUACAAUGGCUGGUACAACGAGUCGCAAGCCGGUGACGGCAAGCUAAUCUCUGAAAGCCAGUCUCAGUUCGGAUUGUAGGCUGCAACUCGCCUACAUGAAGUCGGAAUCGCUAGUAAUCGCGGAUCAGCACGCCGCGGUGAAUACGUUCCCGGGCCU